rnacentral:rRNA from 1 species
CAAGGUCUCCGUUGGUGAACCAGCGGAGGGAUCAUUACUGAGUUUACGCUCUAUAACCCUUUGUGAACAUACCUAUAACUGUUGCUUCGGCGGGUAGGGUCUCCGUGACCCUCCCGGCCUCCCGCCCCCGGGCGGGUCGGCGCCCGCCGGAGGAUAACCAAACUCUGAUUUAACGACGUUUCUUCUGAGUGGUACAAGCAAAUAAUCAAAACUUUUAACAACGGAUCUCUUGGUUCUGGCAUCGAUGAAGAACGCAGCGAAAUGCGAUAAGUAAUGUGAAUUGCAGAAUUCAGUGAAUCAUCGAAUCUUUGAACGCACAUUGCGCCCGCCAGCAUUCUGGCGGGCAUGCCUGUUCGAGCGUCAUUUCAACCCUCAAGCUCUGCUUGGUGUUGGGGCCCUACAGCUGAUGUAGGCCCUCAAAGGUAGUGGCGGACCCUCCCGGAGCCUCCUUUGCGUAGUAACUUUACGUCUCGCACUGGGAUCCGGAGGGACUCUUGCCGUAAAACCCCCAAUUUCCAAAGGUGACCUC